GCCCAGUGACACUUUGUUCAACGGCCGCGGUAUCCUAACCGUGCGAAGGUAGCGUAAUCACUUGUUCUUUAAAUGAGGACUAGAAUGAAUGGCACUACGAGGGUUAUACUGUCUCCUUUUUUCAAUCAGUUAAACUAAUCUCCCCGUGAAGAAGCGGGGAUAUACCUAUAAGACGAGAAGACCCUAUGGAGCUUUAAAUUUUGUUACAACUGCUACUCUAUUUUUCAUGUCCAAGACUACUCACAUAACUACUAGCACUAUGAUAAUAAAUUUUAGGUUGGGGUGACCGCGGAGUAUAAUAUAACCUCCACAUUGACACAGGCCUAACGCCUUGAACCGAGAGCCACGACUCUAAGAAAUAAUAUAUUAACAUUCAUUGACCCAAUAUUAUUUGAUCAACGAACCAAGUUACCCUAGGGAUAACAGCGCAAUCCACUUUAAGAGCCCCUAUCGACAAGUGGGUUUACGACCUCGAUGUUGGAUCAGGGUGUCCCAGUGGUGCAGCCGCUACUAAAGGUUCGUUUGUUCAACGAUUAAAACCCUACGUGA
rnacentral:rRNA from 1 species